rnacentral:pre_miRNA from 1 species
AUCACUGGAGAUCUUGUUAAGACGCAGAUUCUAAUUCAGUGGCCCAGGAUUCUGCAUUUCUAACAAGCUCGCAAGUGAUGCCAG